rnacentral:lncRNA from 1 species
GUCGGGACAAGAGCCCAGGAAUUGGCAUGUUAUGAAGCACUGUCAUUGAAGAGGACAAUCUGGUGGCCCUGGGCCCCACCCCCAGAGCCCGUAGCUCACACCCCUCCAGAAGGGUGUUCCCAGCGGGGCCUGGGGCAGGAGGUCUUGAGAGGCCCCAGGGAGGCCCCCCUCCCCCUCCAGAUGCGGUCCAGGGAAUAGCGUUUGGAAUCCCAGGGAACUCCGGCACAGCCGGGCUUUGGCCAAAAGCAUCACUAAUCACCUGGACAGCGACGGCCAGUCCAUGCAGUCCUCCCGGCAGCUGUCGGCGGAUCUCAGUGCUGCCCCACGGCUUGGAUGGGGAAAUGGAGGCCGCCCACAGGAAGUGGCCUGGCGGGCCAGGGCCAAGACCACACCCAGCGAUCCCCAGGCCAGGGACCCUCCCCAGCCCAGCAGGUCUUCCCUACCUUGGCUCCACUGGACACAAUCUUCGAAAGCGUCAGGCCAGUGAACGGUCUGAUUUUGCCAGAGGCCCGAGACCCGGACCCAGGCAGGCCAUGCCGAGACCCGGAGACGUGAGGGCCCGGCUCGUCCCUUCCACCCCUCCUCUGACGGGCGGGAAACUGAGGCCCAGAAAGGGACAGACAGCGACUUGCCCAAAGCGCUUGCAAGGCUGUGGGGGUGCUAGGACAGCGCCCUCCACCCAGCCCCCUGCCCAGCGCUCUUGACUGCAGGCUGCCUUCUAGAUGCUUCUAUCAGCAUCCCUCUGGGAGCUUAUCUUCAACCCGCCUGAAAUUAUCCGCAGGAUCCACGGUGGCCUGCGCUCACCGAGGGCUCCGGGACAGGCACAGGGCCGGGGCCUCCUGGGUCUCGCCCAUCCUCUGUCCUGGGCUGUUGUGAACUCCUCAAAUCUGAAAGUCCGAGAUUUCCUCUCCGUGUCACGGAUGAGACCACGGAAGCACAGAGAGGUGAAGCGAGGUGCCCACGGUCACACAGCUGGUCCAUGGGGAGCAGGACGUCAGCCCAGGGCGAGCGGCUCCGCCACCUGUGCCGUUAACUCUGCGACGGUGACCAAGUGCUCGGGUGAGAAUCCUCUCCCCAGCCUCUGUGUGGACCCGGCUCCCGGCUCUAGGAUGCCCUGGUCAGCUGCCUCUUUGUCCUCCUCUUCUUCCCCCUUCCUCCUACUUCUCCCUCCUCCUCCUUCUCCCUCCUUCCUCCUCCUUCUCCCUCCUUCACCCUCCUUCUCCAUCCUUCUCCCUCCUUUGUCCUCCUUCCUCCUUCUUCCUCCACCCUCCUCCUCCCUCCUCCUUCCCUCUCCCUCCUCCAUCCUUCUCCUUCCUUCAUCUUCCUUCUCCCUCCUUCUUCCUCCUCUCUUUCUCCCUCCUCCUUCUUUCUCCCUGCUUCAUCCUUCUCCUUCCUUCGUCCUCCUUCUCCCUCCUUCCUCCUCCCUCUCCCUCCUUCUCCCCCCUCCAUCCUUCUCCCUCCUUCUCCCUCCUUCUCCCUCCUUCUUCCUCCUCCAUCCUUCUCCCUCCUUCGUCCUCCUUCUCCCUCCUUCAGCCUCCUUCUUCCUCCUUCAUCCUCCCACCUCCCCCUUUUCUUCCCCUUCCUCCCCUGCCCCCGAUGUGUGCACCCCCAGCAGAACGUCAGCUCCAGGAGAAAGCUGUCUUGUCCACCCCGUGUGUGUGUGUGUGUGUGUGUGUGUCGGGAGGCUCACCUCCUGGAUCUGA